rnacentral:tRNA from 1 species
AGAAACUUAGGUUACACCAAACCAAGGGCCUUCAAAGCCCCAAACAAGAGCAAAGCCUCUUAGUUCCUG